rnacentral:rRNA from 1 species
GGCAUGCUUAACAUGCAGUCGAACGGUAACAGGUCUUCGGAUGCUGACGAGUGGCGAACGGGUGAGUAAUACAUCGGAACGUGCCCGAUCGUGGGGGAUAACGCAGCGAAAGCUGUGCUAAUACCGCAUAAGAUCUAAGGAUGAAAGCGGGGGACUCGUAAGGGCCUCGCGCGAACGGAGCGGCCGAUGGCAGAUUAGGUAGUUGGUGGGAUAAAAGCUUACCAAGCCGACGAUCUGUAGCUGGUCUGAGAGGACGACCAGCCACACUGGGACUGAGACACGGCCCAGACUCCUACGGGAGGCAGCAGUGGGGAAUUUUGGACAAUGGGCGCAAGCCUGAUCCAGCAAUGCCGCGUGCAGGAUGAAGGCCUUCGGGUUGUAAACUGCUUUUGUACGGAGCGAAAAGGUUCUGGUUAAUACCUGGGGCCCAUGACGGUACCGUAAGAAUAAGCACCGGCUAACUACGUGCCAGCAGCCGCGGUAAUACGUAGGGUGCAAGCGUUAAUCGGAAUUACUGGGCGUAAAGCGUGCGCAGGCGGUUAUAUAAGACAGAUGUGAAAUCCCCGGGCUCAACCUGGGAACUGCAUUAGUGACUGUAUAGCUAGAGUGCGGCAGAGGGGGAUGGAAUUCCGCGUGUAGCAGUGAAAUGCGUAGAUAUGCGGAGGAACACCGAUGGCGAAGGCAAUCCCCCUGGGCCUGCACUGACGCUCAUGCACGAAAGCGUGGGGAACAAACAGGAUUAGAUACCCUGGUAGUCCACGCCCUAAACUAUGUCAACUGGUUGUUGGGAAUUCACUUUCUCAGUAACGAAGCUAACGCGUGAAGUUGACCGCCUGGGGAGUACGGCCGCAAGGUUAAAACUCAAAGGAAUUGACGGGGACCCGCACAAGCGGUGGAUGAUGUGGUUUAAUUCGAUGCAACGCGAAAACCUUACCCACCUUU